GUUAGGUAUAGCACUGUUUUAUCUCAGCGUGGUACACUCUUCCUGUUGAGAGAAGUAUUACAAAUAUUGGCAAGUCUGAGUAAAGAUCUAAUGCUCUUCAAGGUCUAAAUUAGCAAAAUAACCCUUUUUGGAUGAUGGAAGAGCUUUAUACCACCUAUCUCCCAAACUUUAUACCUAUCGGCACUCAUAUAAAAGAAACAGAGAGGAAACAUCAUGUUUGGGCUUCAGCUCACUGUCGUUUUAGACUAAAGAUACUCAGCUCACUGUCAUCACCGAGAGAGGCUAACUGAGACUGUCGGUGCUCUGUGCUGUUGAGUUCUGGGAGAGAUAUUGAAAAUAAAGCCUUGCAGGAAGACCUAAAGAGCAGCCAGCGACACGGCAAAAUCUUUUUGAGAUAGGCUUCGUUAUUGUUCACCAAGAGCAUUCAAGGACAACAUUGUAUCAUACACUGACAGAGAAGAAGUACAAAGAGCGAACAUGUUGAAACAACACUCAGCAGCCAUUCGCUUCAGUUUAGGUAGCACUAUGGUUAGAUUGUAUGUACUGUGUAUGAUUGGUUUCAUCUUGCUCCACAGCCAGAUAUUUCUUUUUUCCUUACUUCCUGUAGUUGUAAUCAAUGUGCUA